UAUAUCAUUUUCAACCCUUUCUUCUGUCAAUAUGUAAUUUCAUAUUUCAAUUUCUAUGAUUUGUUAGGGUCUUCAUCGCCAAUACAGUGCAAUACAUGUGUUGCAAUCUGUGGAAACCUUUUUCUGCGGUGCUGGUGCAACUUGUAAAUCAAAUGCUUCUACAUUUACCCUUGAUAUCACUGCUUCUAAUGAUCAUUUUGAUGCAAUCUUGAAGAAUGAGCUAAGCACAAGGGUUUGUUGACCUUUGGAUCUGUGGUUCCUGAUUUUUAGGGCUAUCUUCUGGAAUGAAAAUAGACGCCUUUAACUUUCAAAAGAACUCAUUUGGGUUGGACUUUUUAAAAAAAUUAAUGUCUGUUGGAGUUGAAAGAAGCAAACUUCUUUCAGAUGCUUCCAAUGAAAAGAUUUGCCUUCAAAUCCAGUAACUUUAAAGUUCUCUCUUCUUUAUUUUUGCGUGUUCAGCAAGAGACUAACUGGACAAAAGGAAAAAUUCCAAUCACAUACGAAGAGAAACCAUUUUUGUACAUGCCGUCUAAAAUGUUUGAAACCUAUAAUCGCAAAUGAACAAACCAUCUUUGAGUACUUCUACUAUUGCUUGGUUGACCAUUUCUUUCUUCCUUUGGUCUGAGGAACUUAUUCUGAAUUUACUGAUUGUUGCUUUGGUAUAGGACUUGCUUUCUAUUCAACGUGGAAUUGGUCAAGGGAUUGUUGUGGCCAAACUGUUAAAGUGAUCACGAGUACAUGAAAAAGUUCGAGGUAGUUCUAAUUUAAAUCCAGCAUAUUUCUUACCACAUUGGUUCUUUGGUAGGAGUGUGAGUAUCAUUCGAAGUUUUGAGCGUUGUAUAGAAUUGCUUCCUUGUUGCUGGUCUAGGUAUAGGUUCUUAAGGAUUAGCAAUAAUAGAAGAGCUCUGAGGUCACUGAUUCAAGUCGAAACAGAGGAAAAUUCAUUGUAAUCUAUUUUUAUCUGUUUAUCUGCGGCUAUUUGAACUGUACCAUGUACUACCUAUAUGGUUUGUGGGUGUCUUCAACUAUACGUUUGAAAUCUUGCCAACCCGUAUUUUUCUAAAUAGUGAUUAAUUGUGCUUUUGCCGUUGCGAAAAAAAAAGAAAAGCAAAAGAGAUAGUAGAUGUGUCGGCAAAUCUUGCAUGGGGCUUUGUAGUUAUUUGUAAAUUAUGGAGAACAAAAAAAGAUAAUAUUAGAUGUAAUUUACUAGGAUUGAAUGAGCUACUAUUGGACCGUAUGUAUUAAUAAGUUCGAUGUGGCAAAGAGAAGUUGAUGACUAGGUAAUUUGGUUUUAGCUUCAUGUGACACCUAAUGUCCACUAUCAACACAUCAUGCUUUAGGAAGCCAAUAUAACCCAAGAGGCAAGAGUCGUCUUGUUCUAUUUUGCUAUGUUGUACAGAGAGAGCGAUAUUAGCAAAUAUAUAUUCAUCUAAUUGGUGUGAGAGGUGGAAAAAAAUAGUGGACUCUUAAAGUUCGAAAAAAAUUAAAAAAAACUGAUCAUUUGGGUUCCAUAAGGAUCUGAUGGUGCAAUGGAGUUUGAUGACAAUGGAAUUUUGGUAUAUAGUUCACGGUGCCAAGAUUUGAUUUGUGUAUUCAACGGCCAUGAUCAUGAUUUGAGGUACCGGGUAGUAUGUGAUACAUUCCUCGCUAAAUCUCUUUGCAAAGAAUGUUCUUUAAUUCUCUUAUAUUUGUACUCAUUUGUUCUCUAAGUUUAUUAAUUCAGUUAUUGUCACAUUUUGUAUCAUGGCAUAGAAAAUAUUUGGCUGAAAGCCAAAGAACAUAUUGGUGCAUGGGCAAGUCCACUGGGUCAGAGAAGUAUGAGAAUGUAUGAAUGACUGCCCUACGGGGAGUCUAGAAAUUAAAAUAUCUCUAAUCCAUAAAAAAGGCAUAACCUUCUCAGCUCAGAUUAGCGAAACUUUCGUAGCAAAUCUUUUUGUGUGGAUAAUUUGCUUCCUAAAGACUUCAAAAACAUGUAUCUUUUGGUGCACAAGGUUUGUUUUUGAGUGCUCCCUAGAAUGACACUACCUUGCCAUCUAUAAAUACCAUAUGUAGUAUAAAAUCUGCAUGUAAUCAGCUAAACUCUAUGCUACUUUACCUAAUCAGUGUAUAAUAUAUGCAUACCUACUCUAAUUUCUAGAACUCAAAAGUUUUUUGCUUAGAGGAAACCGUACGAGCCCGAAACUUCAUAAUAAUGAGAGUUAUCUGGUCAUUAUGAAAAAUGAGGACACUUUAAAGUAAAGAAUUGCUUUUCGGGUCAAAAACAAAUGAGACUCUGGGGGUUGAGUCUGCUUAUUGUUUCCUGGCAGCAACUUGGGUAGUUGGUCUGGGUGGGUUGGGGGUGUCUUGGGUGGCUGUUGUUGUGUCUCGUAUCCUUUGGGCUGGUGUCUUCAGUCAUUAGACAAUCUUAGUGCCUGUGGGGUACAUCUGUUUCUCUGCUGCUACUUCUACACUUUAUUGCUCACUACUGCAUAUGAAGGAUCUUAUUGCAACCAGUUUUUGCAACACAAAGUUACUGCUGAAAAUAUUCUGAAGUUGCAGCUGUAUUCCGCUGUCACUAUAUGUUGCAGCAUUGAUUUGAGUAAACUAUGCCACUGAUUGGAAAAAUGCUGAUCAUGAUUCUACUAUUUUGCUAUCCUUUCAUGCUAUUAGGUGAAAUCUACUGCCAUCACAUGGUUUGGCAUGGCUGCUACAUUACCAUGACCAUGUUACAGUGAAGAAUUGCAUUAUGCUUGAAGGAUUGGAUUUUGCUGAUACUCUUAUCAAGGCAUACUCUUUUGCGAGCUCAUUUAUCUUGUUCUUAAUUUGCGCUCUUAUUCGUUUGUUAAUUUGCUGCAUUACUUGAUAAGAUCUAUAUUGCAAGUUUUCGCGCAUCGUUUCCAAAGUUUCUUCCAUGACAACAUCAUUGCUGAAAUUAUUUUACGCAUGAAUAAUUCGAGUGGAAAGUUCCCUGGCAAAAUGGGCAUUCUUCAGCCCAUUGGCAUCGAAGUUUUACAGAAUAGGUUGAGGUUACAAGACUCUGAUCUUGUCUUUGUUGCUGUUUAAGAUUCAAGUGAUAUUCAGCUUUUGGUGCUUUCUUCAAAUGGGUCCGAGAAAAUGUACUUCUGGUUUUAGUAUGUAACUUAUAGAGAUUAAUGUAGAUCUCAAUUCUAUGUUUGUUCCGCACUAUAUCAAUUUAUGCAUGUUUUCUCUGCAA